UACGGAGGGUGCGAGCGUUGUCCGGAAUCAUUGGGCGUAAAGGGCGCGUAGGUGGCCCGGUCAGUUCGUGGUGAAAGCGCGGGGCUCAACCCUGCGUCGGCCAUGAAUACUGCCGCGGCUGGAGCACUGUAGAGGCAGGCGGAAUUCCGGGUGUAGCGGUGAAAUGCGUAGAUAUCUGGAGGAACACCGGUGGCGAAGGCGGCAUCCUGGACCGGCAUUGACGCUGAGGCGCGAAAGCGUGGGGAGCAAACAGG
rnacentral:rRNA from 1 species